rnacentral:lncRNA from 13 species
CCCAGCCCUCACGGCCCCGCUGUCCCCCGCAGAAGGCGGAGUCGGAGGAGCUGGAGACGCAGAAGCCGCAGGUGAAGCUGAGGCGGACGGUGUCCGAGGUGGUCAGGCCGGCGUCCACCCCGCCCAUCAUCGCCUCUGCCAUCAAGGACGACGAUGACGAGGACCGGAUCAUCGCGGAGCUGGAGAGCGGUGGCGUCUCCAUCCCGGCCAUGAAGGUGGUGAAUCCGGCGUCGCGGCUGAAGCAGGGCCAGCAGGGCAGCCCCGACAAGGGCAAGCACAUCAAGCAGCGCAUGGAGUACAUGCGGAUCCAGGGCCAGCAGCAGAGCUCUCAGAGCUUCCCCCCACCAGCGUCCAGCCAGGAGCAGCUUCCAGCUCCCGCCGCGCGGAAAUUCGGGAAGCAGCGGCCGCCGAAGACACCCCCGGAGCGGCCCCCGAGGGGCCCGGGAGUCCCCGCGUUGUCCCCGCAGGAGGAGAGGACAGCUCCGGCCAGGGCUCGCCGGUGGGUGGCCGGUGGCGCCGAGGGCUCGGGGCCAUCCCGGAUCGCUGCCACCGCGGCCACCACGCCCGGCUCACCUCGAGGGGGGCAAGCGGGACCCCGGGAGUGCCGGAGGGGCCGCAGGGCGCGGGUGUGAACUGGGGAGGGGGAUCCGAGCACUUGGGGCGGGGGCAGACCCUGCGGUGCGGUGAUGCCGGGGGGGUCACCCGGCCGCGGCUCUGUCCCCUCCCUUUGGGGGCGAGCGGGCGGGACGGGAGCCCCGAGCCCCAGGGCAGCAGCCCCGGCCCCGCAGAGCCUGGGGGGGUUCCCGGGGGUCGUGGGAAGGUGGCCCGUGGCCACCUCGCAGCAGCGCGGCCCAGCCAGGUGUGGCACAGGUGUGUGCUGGGUGUGCCCAGGUGUGCCCCAGGUGCACUCCAGGUGUGCCCAGCUGUGCCCAGGUGUGUGUGUGUGUGCGUGUGCUCUGCGUGUGCAACACGAGAUCCAAUCACUCCUUUCGUUCUCUAUUUCGUCCGUGGGUUGAUUCUUUUGUUUGUUUUUUUUUUUUUUAAUUUCGAUUUCAAUUCCUUUUCUCUUCCUUUUCCCCCUUCCUCCGGUUUUUUUUCUUUCGUUAUUUUUUUUCUUUUUUUUUGUAUCUCGAUCAUUUUUGUACAGAAGAAACGAGAGCCUUUUUUUUUUGAAUAACAAAGAGGAAAACACACGCGAAAAAGAACAACAGAAAAAAAAAAAAAACACCAAACCAAACCAAACCAAAAAAAAGACCGAAAAAAUGAAAAAAAAAAAAGAAAAAAAAAAAUCACGAUGCAAUUUCUUUGGAUUGCAAAAAAAGCAACUCUUUACAUUUAAGUGAAGUGUCUUAACAUUUUAUAUUGUUUUAAAAAAUAUAUUUACAUAUUAUAUAUAUAUAAUAUACGUAAUAUAAAUCUAUAUAUAAAUAUUUAAAGAGGGGGGAAAAAAAAGAAAAAGAAAAAAAACACGCCAAAAAAAAAAAGGAAAAAAAAAAAAACAAAGAAGAGAAGUAAAAUCACGUCCGGUAUUAUUUAGGGGGUGGAUUUGAAAUCCCUGCUUAGGUUUAGAGCUCCUCGUGGUUUCCAGAGCGGCUUCUUCGCUGAGUUCCCGCCCUCUUUCCUUGUCCCCAGCCCUGUCCCCAGGUCCCGGUGGCCUUGGGGACACGCGUCGCCCAGUGCCAGCAGCAAUAGCAGUCACUUGAUGCGUUUUUAAGGAAUUUCUUUGGAAUUAUUGUUCCUUUUCUCGGUACCAAAGUGAAUUCACUGUAGCAAAGCCGCAGCUUCUGGGGCUGGCCCGGGGGUGGCACCUGGCGCUGUCCCCUCCCCUGCACGGGGCUGCGUCACCUCGGGUCACCCUCGGGUCACCUCGUGUCACCCUCGGGGGGACGCGCUGACAGCCCCCCACCCCCCACUGCUGGAGGGUGUGGAGGUGACAAGUGCCACCCCCUUGGUGACACCCCCAAAAAUGUCACAGGGGG